UGAGAUCUUCUAUAUAAUCCUUUCACUAGCAUACUCUUUCUACAUAAUGGAUAAUUUACUUAAAAAGCAAACCCCUAUAUUUUGAAACUUAAUUUUAGAAAUAGAAAAGAUUACUGGCAGCCAAACAAAGUAUUUACUCAGGUGCCUCGUAAACAUGAUUUGGCAUCCAAAACCUGGAUAUGACUUAGAGAGGAGCUCACACCUUUGAACAAACUGUGCUUUUCUAAUCCUGCACCUUUAUCUGAGCCAAAGCCCCAGGUCAGGGCUAGGAAAGUCAAGAAAUAGGAAGGAAAUCGGUCAGUUUUCUAUCAUCAUUGGCUGCUGUGUAUAACCUCAGCAGAGUGGACACCAGGGAGCGCUGAGCUAGUGAAAAUCCAAUUCAGUUCUUCCUUCUCUAUGAUGUAUUUUAAUGAAGCAAGCAGAUGAACACCAGUGAGAUGUACUUCUACCUCAUUCCUAUCUUAUAGAUGAAGAAAUUGAGGCUCAGAGAUGUUAAGUCACAGAGCUAAGAAAUGACAGGGUCAAGAUCUGAACCCCUGUUCAUCUGACUCCAAAGCCUGUGCUCUAUGUUACCUACCUCACUAUGAUGGUUGGGAUACUCAUGACAUUGGCCAGUUAAAGGCCACUGAAACCAGAGAGCAUAUGACAGCUGUAAUGUGAUAUGGAAGUAUCUGUGAUUUUUCCUGGUGACAGAAUCAAAGGUUGGGCUUGAAAGUGUAACAAGAGGUUAAAAUAGAAGUUCUAGCUGAAGCACAAAGAAAGUAGAAACAACACAUCAAAGUGAGGGAUUUAUAAAGCAGGAGACUGAAAACCAGCUGGUGACUCUUGAAUUCCUCACCCUUAUUGAGAGUAUAAAAGGCUUAUAGCCCUCACCCUUUCACCUCAAAUCAAGAGGGAAGGGUUUUAGAAACACAACUUGGAGAGCUUAAUAUGUAUCCCUGAAGUUUGAGGAAAGGGGACGUAGUGUACUGACUUCUGCCUGGAAAGUCUAACAGGUGGGAGAUUAAUUGACUGCAAUGAAGGAGAAAGCCAAUGACAGGUUGCUUCUUGACUGGAAUUGUUCAGCACUCCAGAGGCUGUCAGGGAAAGGAUGUGAGCAUGCUGCCUGGAAUCUGAUGUGGCUCAGCUGUAGGACAAAGAUAGUGUGUUUUCUUAAGUUCUGACCAAAUGAACCACCUUAAGAGACAAAGAUCACUCAGCAAGGAAAGCUGAAGAUGCUAUGAGAUGCCAGAGGUUGGGGAAGGAGCAAACAACCAGCUGGAAUGGAUAUGCCUUUUCUCAAAGAAAAUUGCAAGUGGAAGAAUUCCAGCCAUGGGGUCUCCAAAGCAUCCGUGAAACUGUUCCACAAGACAAGGAUGGAUGACUGAAUGCCAAACCCAGAGAGCAGUGAAGCUAAAUCAACUCAAUCAUUUCAGUGAAGAAAGAAAUCUCCUGUCCUUUCCUGUCCCUGAACUCCAUGAUGAAGGGCCAUGUGCUGUAGGUAGCAAAACAGGGGAGAAAGAAUUUCAGUUUUCCUUUUCCCUUGAAAUUUUCUAGCUAAAUCAGUCCGAAAUGUGGAAGGAAAAAGCAUGAAGUUUUUUAUUUUUAUUUUUUGAGACUGAGUCUUGCUCUGUUGCCCAGGCUGGAGUGCAGUGGUGUGGUCUUGGCUCACUGCAACCUCCUCUUCUCGAGUUCAAAUGAUUCUCCUGCCUCUGCCUCCCGAGUAGCUGGAAUUACAGCCGUGCACCACCAUGCCCAGCUAAUUUUUAUAUUUUUAGUAGAAACAGGUUUCACCAUGUUGGCCAGGCUGGUAAUGAACUCCUGACUUCAGGUGUCUGCCAGCCUUGGCCUCCCAAAGUGCUGGAAUUACAGGCAUGAGCCACCACACCUGGCCACAUGAAAGCAUGAAAUUUAAUGCAGAUAGAUUUACCUAUCAUAUAAAAAUGGAAAACCGAAUUACUAAGUGGAACUGAUAUUUUGUGAUCCAGGAAUGACCAUGUCUGAACUUUCAUUUGAGGGGAAAAAGGAUAAUUAACACCAUUGAACAAAUUUAAAGGGAGAAUGGAAGACAAAGUAAAGUUGUUUUAUGUUUACAUACAGCUGUGCUAUUAAGAAAAGCUACCGAUUUUUAUUUUUUGUCUCGUACAAAUUUUUCUCAUUAAAGUUAUACAACCAACAAAAAUAGAUUUGUAUCUUCUUUUCUACUAUGAGUAUUGAUUAUUUUUAUCUCAUUGCAUUUGCUUGGACCUUCUCAAGAAUAUGGCAAAUAAUAAUAGUUAUACUAGGCAUCCUUGUCAAGUUCUGAUUUUAAUUGAAGAGGUUUUAGUGUUUCACCACUAGGAAUACUAUGUGCUUUUGGUUUCAAACUAGGCUUUAUUAAAUUUUAGUAUUUUAUUCCAGUUUUUAGUUUCUGUUUUCUAAUUUUCUUAUAAACAAUAAAACAAUUAUGUCUGUUGAAUUUGAUUGGAUGUCUUAUUUGUAACUAUCUGAUGACAUUUUAGUAUUGAUUAAUCAAAAAAUAUUUUCCUUUAGUUUAUUUUUUGAUUUUGCAUUAUGUUGAUAAAUUUCCUAGUAUUGAAUAACCUUGGUAUUCUUAGAACAUUCCUAACUUAGUAAUAAUAUAUAUUUUGGUACAUUGUUUGAUUAUAUUUGCUAAUAUUUACCUUUUUCUCCCCCCUACAGGCAUUUAGUGAAAUUGGUCCAUAGUUUUAUUUUCUUCUGCUAAUGCUAUGCUGAGUUAAUAAAAUGAAUUGAGAAGCACUCACCUUUUUCUGUGGUCUGGAAUAAGUAACACUGAAAUAAUCUGUUCUUAAUACAUACGAUGAAAUACUUACAAAUGUGCAUUAUUGUGGUGACUUUUAAAAUAGUACAUGUUUAAUUACCUUUGAAGAUGCUAACGUAGCAAUUAAAAAUGUUUUUUCAUUUAUGAGUCAAUUUGAAUAAUUAUGGUUUUCUAGAAUAACAUUCAUUUUCUCCAAGUUUCAAAGUUUGUUUGCAAUGGACAUGCAUAUUUUAUUCUCUAAGAAAAAAAUUUCUCAUUUAUCUAUGAUUAUGCCACAUUCUCAUUUCUAAU
rnacentral:lncRNA from 10 species